AUGAUCGACCGCCGCCAGCAACUGACCGACUCCCUCGCGAUCCAGCUGCCUCCGACCAACGAUAUCAAGAUAGUCAAGAUCACCAGGCUCGCCACGGUCCUCGACCGCAUGGGCCCCCUCGACCCAUCACCGUUCUCUUCGGACUCCGACUCCGAUUCGGACGGCUACCCCCACGCCCGCCGCACUCCGCGCGCGCACGCUCGCGGCGGCCUCGCGGACCAUGAGUUGCCUCGCGGCCCCCCGCCGUCUCCUCGCUCCAACAUGGCGCCAUCACAGGCUAAUCUGGACGGCGCCACCGAAGACUCGCCUAUGCUUCUCUCAUUCGGCGAUGAGCUCCAGACGGCGCAAGGCCAAGCUGUCACCAUCAUAUCUUCUGACGACGACUCCGCUCCUCCCUCCCAGCCUGCCUCACCACCCGCGGCUUUCACUACAACGACCGUCGUUGACUCCUCUGCUUCACCCGCCAGCGUCGACCGCCCCUCCCCACUCCCGGCUAGCGCCGCCCGGGAGAUCGUUCUGCCUCCGCCAGCCCAUCCGGUUGGCGGCGAUAAUGACGACGCUGCUAUCACUCCCUCCGCCAUGGCGCUCCCAUCUGCUUUCCGUCCAUACGACAGCUCAACUUCGUUAUUCCUGCCGCUCGACGCCUCCUCAAUCAUCUUCUCUGCCGGGGCUUCAUCCUCUGAAUCCUCCACCCACAAGAGCGUACUCCGCAAACUGCGCCACUGCGCCAAACGCUCUAUGGACAAGAGCAUGAGCCUGCGCCGGAGCUCGCGCUUGGCCGCCAAGGAACCCAAGGAGUUCACUGACAUGACCACCAAGGCGACACGAAUCAAAGCCGCCAGGCUCACUGCCUUUGAUGUAGCCAAAGCUCUCAAGGAUGCCAUCCACGAUGCCAAACUCGACAUCCCCGACGCCCUGCCCGCGCCUGCCGCACUGCUCGCUGAGAUCGCCAGCCUUUGCGGUGCUGAUGACCAAGGUUUUGGUAACCGAAUGAGGCAUUUUUACCGAGGGGGACUGGUAAACGCGGUUACCACGAUUACCAAGAAAUACCGAUAA
rnacentral:rRNA from 1 species